rnacentral:tRNA from 1 species
GGAGGGGUGGCCGAGUGGUUUAAGGCACCGGUCUUGAAAACCGGCGUAGGCGCAAGUCUACCGUGGGUUCGAAUCCCACCCCCUCCGCCA